rnacentral:rRNA from 1 species
AUACGUAGGUGGCGAGCGUUGUCCGGAAUUACUGGGCGUAAAGGGCGUGUAGGCGGGGGAGCAAGUCAGAUGUGAAAUUCCACGGCUUAACUGUGGCGCUGCAUCUGAAACUGUUUCUCUUGAGUGCUGGAGAGGAAAGUGGAAUUCCCAGUGUAGCGGUGAAAUGCGUAGAGAUUGGGAGGAACACCAGUGGCGAAGGCGGCUUUCUGGACAGUAACUGACGCUGAGGCGCGAAAGCGUGGGGAGCAAACAGGAUUAGAUACCCUGGUAGUCCACGCCGUAAACGAUGGAUACUAGGUGUAGGAGGUAUCGACCCCUUCUGUGCCGGAGUUAACACAAUAAGUAUCCCGCCUGGGGAGUACGGCCGCAAGGCUGAA